rnacentral:rRNA from 1 species
UUGGACCUGAUAUCAGGCAAGAUUACCCGCUGAACUUAACUAAG